CAGACUGCUGCCACACUGGCUGGCUAGGUCGCUCUGAACACACAAAAACAUUCAACACAAAGGACAAAAAGCAUGUGGAGGAGCUGUGCAAAAAUCAUAUAAAACAUCAUUAAACUUGAGGGAACAUUGCUCAAGAAGGGAAGAGUAUGGUGACAUUAUAAGAGCAAGAGGAACAGUGAGUUGAC